GCUUACGGCCAUACCACCCUGUCUGUGCCCGAUCUCGUCUGAUCUCGGAAGCUAAGCUGGGUCGGGCCUGGAUAGUACUCGGAUGGGAGACCUCCUGGGAAUACCAGAUGCUGUAAGCU
rnacentral:rRNA from 1 species